GUCUUAUUUUUGCUGUUGGAGCGAGAGAUCAGAGAGCCCAGGGCGUGGUUGGUUGCAGUUGAUUGGUUGCAGUGUGUUUUGAUUCUGUGUGUGCUGGCUUAGGUUAGCCAUUUUGAUUUGUAUGUUGUUGGGGGGGGGGUCAGUCAUUUUCUUGUUGGCCUGUGUAUGUGAUAAAGGGGAGCCACAUGGGGGUGAAGGUGUCCUUUGUUUGUCUCUGUGAUAGUUUCAAUUUGUUGGUCAGUUUACAUCCCCAUAGUUUUGGUUCAGUCUGCAGGAACUCUGGCUAGGGAAUCUAUGAACAUGGCAGUGCUAUGAAUGAAUGAUGAUGCUUUCCUGAAAUGCUUCAGCGUUUAGCAAGUGAGUCUCCAUGCCAUCAGCAUGGACUAUGCACACAUAUGAAUGAUGGAAGCCUUACUUAUUAAAGAAUGUGGAUGGAAAGCUGACUUGAACACAUCACUGCUGUGCUGGAGACAAGCCAUAGUUGCUAGCUAGUGCUGCAAGAAGCCUAUGUCUUCUAUACAAAAGAGCUAUGUGUAGUAGCAGCCAUCUCCCAGUUCUUCUACUAAAGAUUCAGCUUGUAAUUUUAAUUCUAAAAAGAGUCAUUGCCUGCAGUCAUGCACCCAGAUAUGCAUACUUAAGUCCCAUUGAUUUCCCAUAGAAGUUUGUGCAGCUGGGCCUAGGAUUGCACUUAAGUGUAUUUAUUAAUAGAUUUAAGCAACUGUGUAAUUAAGGGGAUAGCUUGCAUGGCUUGGUUAAAUAUAGGCAAUGAUUUCACUAACAUCAAUAGUACAUUGUGAGUAACAAGUGCCAGGUAUUAUUUUACUAUUCAGCCUCAUUAACCAAACAAGGGUGGGUUCUUUUGUUUAUUUAUUUUUUGGCAUCUUUGACUUCCUCAGACUGAAAGUCAUUAGCAGUGACAAUACAUAACACACACUGAUGAAUUGUCUAGUCUUAAGUGGUUGAUCCAUGAAUCAACCUAGAUCGGGCUGUUAAUUAAAACAACUAUAACUAAUGGUAUAGUUGUUUUAAUUAACAGUCUGAUUCUCCACCUGGUUACACCAAACACCUUUGACAUUAGCCAGUUUAGCCCCACUGAACUCAAGAGGAGGUGGGGGAGAAUGAGAGAGAGAGAGAAAUGAACAGUGAAAUCUUAUGUAUGUUUGCUCAUAACUAAGUCCUACUGUAGCCCUCAGGUAUUCCAAACAGCGAUAAAGUGUGCUGUCUUGUCCAUCUUCCUCACUGUUUCCAUCACUUUCAACCUGUAGAACAGAAAAUUUCAAGCUUUUGGGGUCCAUGGCUCCCUUGACCAACUACAUUCUUUCUGCAGCACCCCUGUGGGGCUCAGGAGCCCAGUUACGGCACUCCUUGCCUGCAGAGCUGGCAGCCUCUCACCCUUUUUCAAACACCCUCCCUUGUGGAGUGUUCCCUCAGCUUCCUCUCCUCUCCCCUCUCCUUGGAGGUCCUCCGGGCAGCCUCUGCUUCAGCAAACAGCUGUUCACACCUUUGGGAGGCAGGGAUGUGAGAGGCCAUCAGAGAAGGGAGGGAGGGAGGAAAGAGGGACAUAGGCCAGUGUUGCCUGUGGCACCCCUGACCAUCAUUCAAGGGAUCCCAGGGUGCCAUGGCACACUGAUUGAAAACCACUUCUAUAGAAGAUGACCGUUGGUAGCGUGGAGCCUUUAUACCUGUGGGUGCUCCCCUCCCACCUGCGUAACAGAACUCUAUGUAAUUGCAGGGUUCUGAAAUGUGUGGGCAACGCCUGCAGAUGAAUAAGGUUACCCAUUGCAGACCUUCCAUGAUUUGGAAGGCAACAGAAACAGUGAUGGAGGGGUGAAGCUAGUGUGUUUGUCCUUGCUUUCUCUCCUCCUCCCUCCUAUUUCCUUUCCCCUAUUUGGAGUGCCUAAAAAGGCCUAAUGUCCAGGGAAGCAUACCGUAUUUUUCGCCCUAUAAAACGCACUUUUCCCCCUCCAAAAAUGAAGGGGAAAUGUGUGUGCAUCCUAUGGGGCGAAUGCAGGCUUUCACUGAAGCCUGGAGAGCGAGAGGGGUCAGUGCGCACCAACCCCUUUCACUCUUCAGGCUUCAGGAAGCUAUCCGCAAGCCUGGGGAGCCCACGGGAGUUCCCGCUGGGCUCCCUAGGCUUGCGGAUAGCAGCCUGUUCUGGGGGCUUGGGUCCCAGCCCCACGCCUGGGGGGGAAAUAAUUGUUUUUCUUUAUUUCCCCACCCAAAAAACUAGGUGCGCCCUAUGGGCCGGUUGGCCCUAUGGGGCGAAAAAUACGGUACUUCCUAGCAAGUAUUUUUACAGCCAAAGUCAAGUACUAUAGUUGACUUGGGUGGUAGUUUGGAUUGUUUUUUAAAUGAUAUUUAUCUUUAUUACCUUAAUGAACAAAAUUUGUAUACCACUUGCUCAGUUAAAAAAACCCUCCACAAGUACCUCUAAGUGGUUUACAAAGGACAAAUGUAUCUUUCUGUAUUUAAUUUUAUUCACUAAACAAAGCCUACUGGUAUAUAUAUAUAUAUUUCUCUUCUAAGAUCCUGAUCUUGUACUUUUAUCAACUAUUUGAUCUGUGAGUAUUUGCGGAAAGUAAUACUAGAAAUAAGUAAAUAUAUUAAUGCUAUAAAUAACUAAAAAGUAAUUUCUAGGCUAUAAAUAAUAUCAAAAGAACCUUUAAAGGCAUAGCAAUGGGCCAAGCUUUUUUUCUUUUCUUUUUUACAACUCUAUAUGAGAUAUUUGUUUUACUUAUUUGUAAAAUGUUUACAUACCACUACAUCAUAACAAUCAUAGUGGUUUACAAUAUUAUCUAUACAGUCGUACCUCGGAAGUCAAACAGAAUCUGUUCUGGAAGUCCGUUCAGCUUCUGAAAUGUGGUUUCUGAUUGGCUGCAGGAAGCUCCUGCAGCCAAUCAGAAGCCGUGGAAGCCCCGUCGGAUAUUCAGCUUCCAAAAGAACAUUUGAAAACCAGAACACUCACUUCCAGUUUUCAAUUGUUUGGGAGCCGGAACAUUUGACUCCCAAGGCGUUUGGGAGCUGAUGUACGACUGUAUAUGUAAAAACACAUAGAAAAUGAAAUCAAAGGCCACCCCCUAUUUAUUAUGGAAAGAUGUAUUCUUAAUUGGAGAGCCAGUGUGGUGUAGUGGUUAAGAGUGGUGGACUUGUAAUCUGGUGAACCGGGUUCGCUUGCCCACUCCUCCACAUGCAGCUGCUGGGUGACCUUGGGCUAGUCACACUUCUCUGAAGUCUCUCAGCCCCACUCACCUCACAGAGUGUUUGUUGUGGGGGAGGAACGGAAAGGAGAAUGUUAGCCGCUUUGAGACUCCUUUGGGUAGUGAUAAAGCGGGAUAUCAAAUCCAAAUCCAAUUGCCUCCUUCCUUCCUUUUCUGUACUUGGAAAGCCCCUAAGGAGUAAAAUAAACAGAUUCAUUUAAGUAGGAGCCUAGGAAGCUGCCUUAUACUCAGUCAGAUCAUAGGACCAUCUAGUUCAGUACUGUCUACACUGAUCGGCAGCAGCUCCCCAGGGUUUUCCAAGCCUACCUGGAGUUGCCAGGGGUUCAACAUGAGACCUUCCUCAGGCAAAUCAGUUCUCUGCCACUGAUCUGCUGUUCUUCAUCUAUAUAUGUAUUCUACAUGCCCAUAUCAUAUAAUAAAGAUCAUGGGAAUUUUUGAACAGAAGUAUUCAGGUCUUGGUGUUAUUUAAAGACUCCUAAUUUUUAAUGUGCCUUUUGGACUUUAUUUAGCUAUGCAAGAUAUCACCAUAUUCAGUAUUUUAUAUAUAUAUAUAUAAUAAACAUGUCUAGUCAAAGAAAGCAUUAAUGAAGCAAUUCCCCAAAUAAAACAGCCCAUCAUAUCUGAGUUGCAGCAGAGAGAAAGUGUGGUCUUUGUAGUUUAAUCAAGAUCACAAGACUUGUUUUGAGCGUCUGUCAUCUUUAAUUUUACGGCACUUCAUUUCAGAGUGGGACUGCCAGGGUCACAUGCAAUUAAAACACAGGCAAGAUUUGUCUUGUGAAAUCUUCACAUAAAAAGUAAUGUGUUACUCUAUUUUAACUUUUCUACUGAACUCUGUGAACUCACUAAUUACUUUUCCCCCUCUUGUCACCUUUUUGAUAUGACAUGGAUUUUACAGAAGAGGGAAGUUUGGAAUAUUUAUCUCCAGCGCGCACGCGACCCCCCCUUCCCGAAUCAAGCAUACGAUUGAGGAUAACAAAAUUAAACCCAAGCCGGGGUGGGGGGUGGUGGGGGGUGGGAAGAAUUGUAUAUUAGGGUGGGUGGGUGGAAAUCUUGAGUAUUGCUGCUACCCUUACAAAGGGACUAGUGGAUCAAAUCCAAGGGAAUAACCAUUAAUCUGCUUAACAAGGGCAGGUAGGAGAAGAAUAGCAAGCCGAGGGUUUUAUUGAGGCCAAUCUCAUGAACCCAUGCUUAGUCUUUUUUGGGGGGGGGGAGGGUAAAAGAGACUUCCGUGCGGUGGACCAUGAAAAGCGAUAAAGACCGAGGCCUCUGUGCUUCCUUUAUAGCCCAGGCUCUGUUGUUGCUAUGUUGUGGCCAUCGGUAAAUUGCACAGACCCUUAUUAAGCUUAUUGAUAAGGAGCUUAGGGGAAGUUCCAUUCAGUCCGUGGUGCCUGCUCCUUUUUGUUCUCCUUGCCUUCCCAGUGCACAAACCCUCCUCUCUUUGUAUGGGGAAGAAACCUUUAUGCUCCACCUCAGGAUUCUGCACCACUGCUCUCUUCAUUUGGGUUGGAGAGGCAUGUGGGAACCAUAGAGCAGAAAGGAGAGAGGAGCAGAGCUGGCAAAAGAGCAGGGGGAGGGCGCACGGGCUUAUUUAUAUGUGCCGGAGACACCUGGCGAAGGCCUGCGAAAACAACAGCAACCAGACUUCAUGCUUCCCAAGAAUCUUUUAUAUCACUCUCCUUUCCGUGCAGCUGGAAUCCAUGGGGAUCAGGGGAUUAUUUUUGAUACCUGUCUAAAAGAGUUAUGUCUACCCCGAUUUCCACCCCGACUUUCUAAUUAACGGCAUUGUAUACAGGAAACACUCUCUUUUAAUACCUGCAUUCUUUCAGUAAUAGCCCGGUGAAAGAAAAAGAGAGUGUGGAAAAUUUGGUUAGCAAUUUGCCCUUUUGAAGUCAUCUUGGAGUUUCCAGUCCUAGCAACUGUGACCUGAAAACUGAUUACUGUUAAAUAGGGGGGAGCCAGGCUGGCAGGGUGGAGAGAAUGGCUGGCACUUAGAGCUUCAACAGACAGGACUGGGAAGUCCCCUCCAUGUACCUGUUUUUAUGCUGAGGCAUAGUGAAAGAGCCCCUUUUUGGACUUCCUUGCAUUAUCGCAGGUGCUUCCAUUUCUAGGUCACCGUCUUCCUAGCAAAGCGCCUAUGUCCCUGCAUUCUCUCUUUUAACGUUGCUUUCUUUUGGGUGGUGUGAAUACAAGAACUUGAUGGUGAGAUAUAGAUGGAACACAUAAAAAAUAAUAAUUCACAGCCCCAAACAAGAGGCAUUAAGGCAGCCUGCCCCAGCCUGCCCCCACCAACUGUUUGGGAGCCCCCAGUUUGCAGGGCCUGUGAUCAACAAUGAUGACAAUUGUAGCUGAAAUUUUUUGGAGGGUUCCACAUGGGAUCCCCUGGGUAUAUAUGAUGGAAAUGAUUUGAGAGAUGAAUCGCCCAUUGUUGUUGUUGUUGCUGCAGUUAUUAAAUUCAAUUUUUAUCGUGCUGGCAUAGGCUUUGUACACAGUUAAAACAGACGCACUGAAUCCUGGGAACUUUGUUUGUUACGGAUGCUGGGAAUUGUAGCCCUGUGAGAGGUAAACUACAGUACUAUGAUUUUUUGAGGGGAAGGGUGCUCUUUAAAGAUGCUUUAGAUAUAUGGUGUGUGAUGGGAGUUGUAGCCCAGAAUAGCUAGAUGGCACCUAGUUGGUUGCAUCAAGGAGUGCUACGGAAACGAUGUUUGAGGAAACACUCAAAGCCCAGCUUUAAACUGCAGGAUAUUCCAAGGGAGGGUGAGAUCAAUUGCCUGACAUACCUCACCGUAAUACCAGGUGAAGUGUUUUCCUUUGCCUGUGUGGUCUGAGCUCAAACCACAUGAGCACAAGCACAGGGAUUUGCAAGUGCCAGCGAUCAGUUGUUCGAUGGUGCGUUCAAACCCUACUUUAGGCAGGAAUCCACCACUUUACCUGUUCCACACCUGACUUUAUAUAUGUCAGAAGAUGUUGGGCAGGGGGGCGUGUCUUGGGGAAUCUAUUCUAAUGGGUCAGAUUAGGACUGCAGCUGUGCUUUGUUAACCCCAUAGGCUAACAGUUCCUCUUUGUGGAUUGCAGGUGCUUUCAAAUAAUACGCUUUCCAUAUUGCAAAUUAGGACCCACUUGUGCAGGCCUAUUCCAUUCAUUUCCUCAAGGCUUUCCCUCUUCCAUUUUGUCUUGUCUUGUAGAGGAUACACAUCAAUGCUGUGGAUCAGCAACAUAACCCCAAUGGAAGCUUAAAUCUUCGUGAUCUAAGCAAGGCUGAUGGAAAGAUCUAUGGGUACUACAGUCACCGUGGGUCAGCUAUGACACUCCCCUACAAAAAAGGAAGGCCAAACAAGCUUUCUACAGCACAAUACCUCCCACUGCAUCCUCCUUCAGUUGCAAGGGUGAAGGUGGGGAAUUAUCAUUGAACUUUCUGAACAUAUAGCCUACUGAAAGAUCCCAGCAUAACUGGGUAGGGUUGCUUUUCCUCCAAUUUCAUACUGAAGCACUAGAUUCAAAUUUUCAUUUUCACAACAACAGUAUGGCAAAUUGUCAUCUUUUUUGCGCACAGCUGUCUCGGUAUUCUCAUAAUUUGAAUGAUUCAAGAUCACUGUCUGGCAGCGUGAAUCACAGCAUGCCCCCGUGCCUGCCUCUUUUUCAAUUAUGUCUAAGAGGAAGACUGCUGGAGACCCAUUUUUUCAUCUUGCACAGGACCCCAAAAGUGCCAGAUCUCAUUUCAAUAUAAUAUGAGAUGGUAUGUUGAAGUAGAUGUUAACAGGGCGCUGAAAGAGACAAUCUAUGGGGAGAAGAUCAGGCAUUACAGUGUAGGGCAGACACUUUAUUAAUGCACUUUUUAUGAACACAGAAUUAGCAUCACAAACAGAGGCCCUGUCUUUAACAUAUUGAUCCCCAUUUUAUUGUUAUCUGCACACCUACACACUGAAUCAACAUAUUAUUUUGCACUUUAAAAAAAAAAACCCAUACAAGCAUGUGGGAGGUCAUGUUUUAGGCUAAAGAGAGAAUACACACAAGUUACAGAAUAAGGAUUAAAGUUUGAUCCGAUCUAUGUAUACUCAGAGUUAUAUCUCAUUGUGCUCCAUGGGAAUCGUUCCCAUUGUACAUACGAUUUCAGCCUGGCUGCAGUUUCAUGCAUGUUCACUUGGGAGUUAGCUCAUUGGGUUCAGUGGGUCUUACUUCUAAGUAAACCAAAGGCCAGUUGUACUCGUCCCAAAAAGGGGGGGGGGGUUCAUGCAGUCUUUUAAACAGCUCAGGACUGCAAUACCACAAGGACCGCCUCUUCUCAUGUGAACCAAUCUGGACCCCGUGACCAUCAUCUGAGGCCCUUCUUCAUAUGCCCCUUCCACGAGACCCAGAGGGUGUCAACAUGAGAAUGGCCUUUUCUGUGGUGGCUCCCUGCUGGUAGAGUGUUCUCCCCAGGGAGGCUCACCUGACACCUUUGUUACAUAGCUUUAGACGCCAGGUGAAAGAAUUUCUCUAUAACCAGGCCUUUGGCUAAUUAAACUAUAUAUGGCCUUUUAAACAGUGUGUGUGGUGGUCAUGUUGUUACGUAUUUACGUAUUUUUAUAAUGUAAACCGCCCUGUGAUCUUCAGAAGAAGGGCAGUAUAUAAAUUUAAUUGAUAAAGGAUAUAAAAAAAUAAGUGCCCCAUGUCCAGUCCCCAUAUCAUUGCCCCCUGAAAAAUGCAGCCUUGUGUAGCUGAUGGCUAUACUUUGGUAAACUUUACCAAUUCCUUUAAAAUAAAAUAAAAGUGCUGUCAGGAUUUAGGGUCAACUUGCCAUUUGUUUGAAUGAGUGUGGCCAUUUCAGUGCCUUAAAACAUUAGGGAAGGGAUGUGUAGCUUAGUGAUAGAGCAAGUGGAGUGGGCAAGUUUCAGUUCUUGGCGUUCCCAGUUAAAAUGAUUGGGGGCGGGAUUGGUAAGCAAUGGGGAAUCUCUGACCCAUGGGGACUAAGGCAGCCUAUGAGGUCUCUAGAUCUGACCUGUCUCCCCAGCCCCCCCCCCAGAGUUCACCUGGCUAGAUUAAGUGUGGGAAGGGGAGCUGUCACAUUUAAAAUGAUCAAACUUGAGAAGUAGAACAACACUCAGCAUCUUUUUGUUGUUAUUUUUAACAGGCAAAUGUCAGCCACGUCCCCAGCAUUUGAAAAAUGCAGCUGAUACGGAUGCUGAAGUGAAAAUAGAAGCUGAAAUGCAUUUUUGUACCAUUGCUGGAAGC
rnacentral:lncRNA from 1 species